CGGCGUGCCUAACACAUGCAAGUCGAGCGAGGAGAUUCCUUCGGGAUGAUCCUAGCGGCGGACGGGUGAGUAACACGUGGGCAACCUGCCUCAUAGAGAGGAAUAGCCUUCCGAAAGGGAGAUUAAUACCUCAUAACAUUGCAGUUUCGCAUGGAACAGCAAUUAAAGGAGUAAUCCGCUAUGAGAUGGGCCCGCGGCGCAUUAGCUAGUUGGUGAGGUAACGGCUCACCAAGGCGACGAUGCGUAGCCGACCUGAGAGGGUGAUCGGCCACAUUGGGACUGAGACACGGCCCAGACUCCUACGGGAGGCAGCAGUGGGGAAUAUUGCACAAUGGGGGAAACCCUGAUGCAAGCAACGCCGCGUGAGUGAUGACGGCCUUCGGGUUGUAAAGCUCUGUCUUCAGGGACGAUAAUGACGGUACCUGAGGAGGAAGCCACGGCUAACUACGUGCCAGCCGCAGC
rnacentral:rRNA from 1 species